CAUGCAAGUCGACGGGCUUGGGGGCUUGCUCCCGGGUUAGUGGCGAACGGGUGAGUAAUAUAUCGGAACAUAUCCGGAAGUGGGGGAUAACGUAGCGAAAGUUACGCUAAUACCGCAUAUGCCCUGAGGGGGAAAGGGGGGGAUCGCAAGACCUCUCGCUUUCGGAGUGGCCGAUACCGGAUUAGCUAAAUGGUGAGGUAAAGGCUCACCAUGGCGACGAUCCGUAGCUGGUCUGAGAGGACGACCAGCCACACUGGAACUGAGACACGGUCCAGACUCCUACGGGAGGCAGCAGUGGGGAAUUUUGGACAAUGGGCGAAAGCCUGAUCCAGCCAUACCGCGUGAGUGAAGAAGGCCUUCGGGUUGUAAAGCUCUUUCAGCCGGAAAGAAAUCGCACUUUUUAAUACGGAGUGUGGAUGACGGUACCGGAAGAAGAAGCACCGGCUAACUACGUGCCAGCAGCCGCGGUAAUACGUAGGGUGCGAGCGUUAAUCGGAAUUACUGGGCGUAAAGCGUGCGCAGGCGGUUUGAUAAGCCAGAUGUGAAAUCCCCGGGCUUAACCUGGGAACUGCAUUUGGAACUGUCAGACUAGAGUGUAGCAGAGGGGGGUAGAAUUCUACGUGUAGCAGUGAAAUGCGUAGAUAUGUGGAGGAAUACCAAUGGCGAAGGCAGCCCCCUGGGUUAACACUGACGCUCAUGCACGAAAGCGUGGGGAGCAAACAGGAUUAGAUACUCUGAUAGUCCACGCCCUAAACGAUGUCAACUAGUGUUGGGGGAGGA
rnacentral:rRNA from 1 species